ACAACGUGCUACAAUGGGCGGUACAAAGGGUCGCGAACCCGCGAGGGGGAGCCAAUCCCAAAAAGCCGCUCUCAGUUCGGAUUGCAGGCUGCAACUCGCCUGCAUGAAGCCGGAAUCGCUAGUAAUCGCGGAUCAGCAUGCCGCGGUGAAUACGUUCCCGGGCCUU
rnacentral:rRNA from 1 species